CAGAGGGUGCAAACGUUGUUCGGAAUUACUGGGCGUAAAGCGUGUGUAGGCGGUCUGCUCAGUCGGAUGUGAAAGCCCUGGGCUCAACCCAGGAAGUGCACUCGAAACUGGCAGGCUAGAGUACUGGAGAGGUUGGUGGAAUUCUCGGUGUAGAGGUGAAAUUCGUAGAUAUCGAGAGGAACACCGGUGGCGAAGGCGGCCAACUGGACAGAUACUGACGCUGAGACACGAAAGCGUGGGGAGCAAACAGGAUUAGAUACCCUGGUAGUCCACGCCGUAAACGAUGGGUGCUAGGUGUCGCGGGCUUUGACUCCUGCGGUGCCGUAGCUAACGCAUUAAGCACCCCGCCUGGGAAGUACGGCCGCAAGGCUA
rnacentral:rRNA from 1 species